GAUGAACGCUGGCGGCGUGCCUAAUACAUGCAAGUCGAGCGAACAGAUCAGGCGCUUGCUCCUUUGACGUUAGCGGCGGACGGGUGAGUCACACGUGGAUAACCUACCUAUAAGACUGGGAUAACUUCGGGAAACCGGCGCUAAUAGCGUAUAAGCUAUUGAUCCGCAGGGUUCAAUAGAGAAAGUCGGCUUUGCUGUCACUUAUAGAUGGAUCCGCGCCGUAUUAGCUAGUCGGUAUGGUAACGGGUUACCAAGGCAACGAUUCGUAGCCGAACGGAGUGAGGGAUAGCCCACCUGAGAGGGGGACCAGCGACAAGGGGCCUACGAGAGGCACCAGAAGGGUACGGGACGCAGUAGGCGAAAGUCUGACGGAGCAACGCGAAGUGAGUGAUGAAAGUGUUGGGAGCGGAAAAAUGGGUUAUGAGGGAAGAACAAAUGUGGAAGUAACUGUGCACAGCGUGACGGUACCGGGUCAGAAAGCAACGGCUAACUACGUG
rnacentral:rRNA from 1 species